UUGCCCUAGUAACGGCGAGUGAAGCGGCAACAGCUCAAAUUUGAAAGCUAGCCUUCGGGUUCGCAUUGUAAUUUGUAGAGGAUGAUUUGGGGAAGCCGCCUGUCUAAGUUCCUUGGAACAGGACGUCAUAGAGGGUGAGAAUCCCGUAUGUGACAGGAAAUGGCACCCUAUGUAAAUCUCCUUCGACGAGUCGAGUUGUUUGGGAAUGCAGCUCUAAAUGGGAGGUAAAUUUCUUCUAAAGCUAAAUAUUGGCGAGAGACCGAUAGCGCACAAGUAGAGUGAUCGAAAGAUGAAAAGCACUUUGGAAAGAGAGUUAAAAAGCACGUGAAAUUGUUGAAAGGGAAGCGCUUGCAAUCAGACUUGUUUAAACUGUUCGGCCGGUCUUCUGACCGGUUUACUCAGUUUGGACAGGCCAGCAUCAGUUUCGGCGGCCGGAUAAAGGCUCUGGGAAUGUGGCCUCCACUUCGGUGGAGGUGUUAUAGCCCAGGGUGUAAUACGGCCAGCCGGGACUGAGGUCCGCGCUUCGGCUAGGAUGCUGGCGUAAUGGUUGUAAGCGACCCGUCUUGAAACACGGACCAAGGAGUCUAACAUCUAUGCGAGUGUUCGGGUGUCAAACCCCUGCGCGUAAUGAAAGUGAACGGAGGUGGGAACCCGCAAGGGUGCACCAUCGACCGAUCCUGAUGUCUUCGGAUGGAUUUGAGUAAGAGCAUAGCUGUUGGGACCCGAAAGAUGGUGAACUAUGCCUGAAUAGGGUGAAGCCAGAGGAAACUCUGGUGGAGGCUCGCAGCGGUUCUGACGUGCAAAUCGAUCGUCAAAUUUGGGUAUAGGGGCGAAAGAA
rnacentral:rRNA from 1 species